rnacentral:rRNA from 1 species
GACGAACGCUGGCGGCGUGCCUAAUACAUGCAAGUCGAACGCAGUGGGGACGGGUGAGUAACACGUGGGUAACCUCCCAUCAGAGGGGAUAACACUUGGAAACAGGUGCUAAACCGAUACUGAUGGAUGGACUCGCGGUGCAUUAGCUAGUUGGUGAGGUAACGGCUCACCAAGGCCACGAUGCAUAGCCGCCCUGUGAGGGUGAUCGUCCACACGUGGACUGGGACACGGCCCAGACUCCUACGGGGGGCAGCAGUAGGGAAUCUUCGGCAAUGGACGAAAUUCUGACCGAGCAACGCCGCGUGCGUGAAGAAGGUUUGCGGAUCGUAAAACUCUGUUGUUAGUGAAGAGGUAUCUAACCAGAAAGCCACGGCUAACUACGUGCCAGCAGCCGCGGUAAUUC